GACGAACGCUGGCGGCGUGCUUAACACAUGCAAGUCGAACGGAAAGGCCCUGCUUUUGUGGGGUGCUCGAGUGGCGAACGGGUGAGUAACACGUGAGUAUCCUGCCCUUGACUUUGGGAUAACUUCAGGAAACUGGGGCUAAUACCGGAUAGGAGCUCCUGCUGCAUGGUGGGGGUUGGAAAGUUUCGGCGGUUGGGGAUGGACUCGCGGCUUAUUAGCUUGUUGGUGGGGUAGUGGCUUACCAAGGCUUUGACGGGUAGCCGGCCUGAGAGGGUGACCGGCCUCAUUAGGACUGAGGUACGGCCCAGACUCCUACGGGAGGCAGCAGUGGGGAAUAUUGCACAAUGAGCGGAAGCCUGAUGCAGCAACGCCGCGUGCGGGAUGACGGCCUUCGGGUUGUAAACCGCAUUCGCCUGUGACGAAGCGUGAGUGACGGUAAUGGGUAAAGAAGCACCGGCUAACUACGUG
rnacentral:rRNA from 1 species